rnacentral:tmRNA from 1 species
GGGGGCGACUGGCUUCGACGGGAGUAGUUGAGGCUGUAGAGGCAUGCCGAGGUGCCACAACCUCGUAAAUCAGUGGUACGUAAAAAUAACUGCCAACGAACAGUUAGCACUUGCUGCGUAAUUAAGGCGUAGCCGUCUUACUCGCUCAGCCCGCGGAACGGGAUAAGGCGUCAUUUAGCGGGAUUUUCGGCCCUCCUGUUUCCUUCAGGGGAGGGUUGAGAACAUUUCUGAAGGACAUCCAAGCAGGUUGAUUUGCCGCUUUUAUUUGCCUGCUGGGAUGAUAAAAGGAAAGCGGACAAGCAUGUAGAUUCUGCAGCCAAAGGCUUUCGGACGUGGGUUCGAUUCCCACCGCCUCCACCA